UGGGUGCUUCCAGGGAUCUUCAUCAGAUAUCUCUCAUCUAUAAUCUACUAUUGAAUGGGAAGACGGUGGUAUUUUGCCUCCAUAACUUUUCGUCUUCAAGCUUCUCCAAGUGCUGCUACAAUUCUGAGGUAAUUCUUUAUUGUCUCUUGGUCUUCCUCUUCAAUUUUUCUCUUAUAUAGAAGACAGAGUUUCAUAAAAUUUCAACAUGUCUGCUUGGGGUAAAACUUUUGUUAGCUGAGGAUAUUCUGGUCAUUUCAGUUUGUUGCCAUACUUCCACCCCACUUCCAUCUUAUUCCACGUGGUUGUGUGGCUAGCAGUUUUAUUGUGCGUGGCAUCGAUGGGUGCUUCCUGGAAUCUUAAUCAGAUAUCUCUCAUCAAUAAUCUACUAUUGAAUGGGAAGACGGUGGUAUUUUGCCUUCAUAACUUUUCCUCUUCAAGCUUCUCCAAGUGCUGUUACAAUUCUGAGGUAAUUCUUUGUUGUCUCUUGGUCUUCCUCUUCAAUUAUUUUAGAUUCAUUCCUUAGGUUUUCUUCUCUAUAUGUUUUCUUAAUGAGCUUCAAGAAAAACAAUUGGAUUGAUGAAGUUUGAAAGUUAAAUCACAAUGUGGUUUUUUUCUUUCCCUAAAAUUCUCCGAUUAUUGCUUAUAUGUUCUUCGCUAUUUCAAUCUUGUUCACUCUGUGUUCCCAUGGCCCAUGCUAUUGUUAUGCUUUACUCAUCAAGUACGGCUAAUCUUUGGUAAGUGUUAUGAAAUGCCUACUACCUGUUUGAUAAAAUGCAUGAAUGGACUGUUUGAUUUAGUUGUGAAAUGUCUAUUAUGUAUAUGUUUUCUUUGGUGAUUUUACUUUUGAAAUUCCUCGCUAGAAUGCCUAAUCAAGCUUAUGUUUGGCUUUUACAGUUAUAUGUUGAUGAUUUUUAUUAUUUCUUCUUAUUUAGAUUAACGUAUUAAUUCCUAGAGGUUCGAGAGACGACAGCAUAUUUGAUAGAACAAAUAAAACAGAAAAGGCCUUAACUUUUUUCUAUUUUGCUUUCUCGAUGAGAGAAGUGAGAUCAGAACUUGAUUCAUAGGUUGCAAUGGAUGUUUUCAGUUCUAAUGGAGUUUGAUAGGCUUCACGUGCAAAGUAUGGUUGGGCAAUUGUUGAUCUUUAACAUUAGACCAGUUGUUGGAUGUAUUUUGCUUAUUUCUGAGAUGUUUGUCCUUCACAGGGAUAAUGAAUGAUGAAAUUUUUGUUUAAGAUAUAAUUUAGGGAUGUUUUUGAACAAGGUAACGGAGGCAUCAAUACCGAUUCAAUCCGAGCUCUUGGAAUUGGAA
rnacentral:lncRNA from 1 species